rnacentral:rRNA from 1 species
AUUGAACGCUGGCGGCAGGCCUAACACAUGCAAGUCGAGCGGAUGAAGGGAGCUUGCUCCUGGAUUCAGCGGCGGACGGGUGAGUAAUGCCUAGGAAUCUGCCUGUUAGUGGGGGAUAACGUCCGGAAACGGGCGCUAAUACCGCAUACGUCCUGAGGGCGAACGUGGGGGAUCUUCGGACCUCACGCUAUCAGAUGAGCCUAGGUCGGAUUAGCUAGUUGGUGGGGUAAAGGCCUACCAAGGCGACGAUCCGUAACUGGUCUGAGAGGAUGAUCAGUCACACUGGAACUGAGACACGGUCCAGACUCCUACGGGAGGCAGCAGUGGGGAAUAUUGGACAAUGGGCGAAAGCCUGAUCCAGCCAUGCCGCGUGUGUGAAGAAGGUCUUCGGAUUGUAAAGCACUUUAAGUGGGGAGGAAGGGCAGUAAGUUAAUACCUUGCUGUUUUGACGGUACCAAAAGAAUAAGCACCGGCUAACUUCGUG